UACAGAGGCCUCGAGCGUUGUUCGGAUUCAUUGGGCGUAAAGGGUGCGUAGGCGGUCGGGUAAGUCGGAUGUGAAAUCUUGGGGCUCAACCUCAAAACUGCAUUCGAUACUGCUUGGCUAGAGGACUGGAGAGGAGAGCGGAAUUCACGGUGUAGCAGUGAAAUGCGUAGAUAUCGUGAGGAAGACCAGCGGCGAAGGCGGCUCUCUGGACAGUUCCUGACGCUGAUGCACGAAGGCCAGGGGAGCAAACGGG
rnacentral:misc_RNA from 1 species